GCAGGACAAUGCGGCUCAAAGGGCUCGGCGGGCUGCAGCCCCCUGUUAAAGCCGAGCCUUAGGGGAGGGCGAGGGUCUCGGCUUACCCGGCCUCGCAUCAAAGUCUCCUCCAUUGGAGCAAAUAACCUUUAUGUCCAGGGCCUAGCAAAGUUUGCUUUCUCCCUCCAGGGUUAGGCACAGCAGGAGCAGAAGAGAAAGCAAGGGCUUGUAGGAGGUUCCCUGCGCAUAAUAACCUCAGAGGAGUUUAGGUCUAAAGACUAAAAGGCUCUAUUUACUUUCAGUGACAAGGAACAAUCUAAGCAGAUGUCCUUUGAUGGGAUUAGUUAUUAAUCCUUGAAUCAUGGUUUGUGCCCUGGAGCGUGGAGCUGGAAUGAAGGGAAAAGAGGGGAAAUCAACCCAAACCUGCAAGAACCCCCCGAGGGAAAGGGGGCUGCUUCCACUAAGGGCUGAGAACAGUGGGACGUGUCAGACAGUUCUCAGUGUAGGGGUCCCGAUUCCUCAGUGUGGAAUAUACAAUAACGCAUCACCAUACAGCACAGAAAGAAAAAAGGGAUAUCGGAAAACCAAAGCGGACGCCUCAACCACGGGCUGCAGACCCUGGGAAGGAGCCACUGAUUGUCAAGGGUGCGGGUCGGGAGCAGGGAUGGGAAGGGACAGGGAUGGGGGUGAUGGUGUCCCCAGGAUUCGGGGGG